rnacentral:tRNA from 1 species
GCGCGGUUGCUGGAGUGGUAACAGCUUUCUCUGCAAAAGAAAUGUCAGGUGUUCGAUUCGCCUACCGUGCUCCA